GCUAACUGUUCUAUUUUUAGCCACCAAUGGCAUAACAUCACCACUCAGAGUUGCACUCCCACCAAAGCCUGAGAAUUCUACUGCGGGUCAGCGUAUAAUGAGUUAUGCGACAGCUGUAUAUGACUACGCAGCGACGGCAACAAACACAGAUCAACUUGAAGGCCGGAGACCGUAUAGCGGUGCUCAGUAAAACAGGAAGUGAUAAGGGAUGGUGGAAAGGAGAACACCUGGCCACGCAUAAAGUCGGCUAUUUCCCAUUUGCCUAUGUGAGAGAAGAGGAUGAAGAAUGAAGCAACCCACCUUGAUAACUCAAGUCCCUUGACAAAAACAUGGAAUACUUCAGAGAUGAUUUACCAAGUGUUAUAACAUUCAGAGAUAAUUCAUUAAGUGAUAUAACAUGACUACUUCAGAGAUGGAUUAUCACAUGUUAUAACAUGAAUACUUUACCAAGUGUUAUAACAUGACUUUAUCCAAUUUUGCGGCCAUACAUUAAACUUUUAUUAUUCAUGAUAAAUGUAGAACAUUGUUUGACAAAGUGACUCACUAAACUCUCUGUCAAUAUCAACUUCAUACUUGAACAAGUUUUAUUAUAUAAAUAUCCAGCAGUUAUAUGGCUGUACACAUAGAUCAAAGUUUUUUAUGAAAACAAUGUUGCAUAUACUACAGUCACUACAGACAGAUAUUAU